rnacentral:misc_RNA from 1 species
AUGAAGAAACAGAGAAUCUUAGUCAUGAAAGAGUGCCAACUGAACUGAAGAAGAACAUCAUGCAAGCUCGGCUUGAUAAGAAACUGACACAGGCACAGCUAGCACAGCUGAUAAAUGAGAAGCCCCAAAUAAUCCAGGAGUAUGAGUCUGGGAAGGCGAUUCCUAAUCAGCAGAUAAUCAGUAAACUGGAAAGGGUUCUGGGCACCAAGCUGCGGGGUAAAAAGUAGUAGUCGGGAAGGGGGUCAAGUCUACCCGAGGAAUAUAAAAAAAAUGCAGUGUGUGGUUUUAAUUUGUGUUUUAUAGACUGUCUUGGGCUUGGCUGUUUAACUUUAAGUAUUUGCGCACUUGCACAUGAAACUUGAGAUGCAUGUGGCGCACUUCUACAUGUAAUUUCAGACGUGUGUGGUCUUUCUUACCAAAAUGAAUAUUUCAAUGGUCUGGGUUAUGUAUAUGAUGUUUGGUCUUCUGUUAUCAGUCGGCCAAAUUAAAUAAUACUCUGUAUCUGUGUUUAACUUUUGUUAUCGAAGUUUGAUUAUAA